GGCAGAAUCUGUUAAACUGACAAAGCCCACGUCUCCGGGUCCCUGUCUCGGGGAGUCGGGACUAUUGGGUCACCCCGGGUAGUCGAGACUCUAGACUGAGCUGUCUCGGUCACUCAGGAGGCAGUUGGCAGAGUAUUCGUGGUCAGGGAGGUGACCCGUGGUCAGCAGGGUCAGGCCACCCAGGGACAAAGGGUGCUCCUGCACCGGGCCUUGGAGAAGGACAGAGCGGUGGGGACUUGGGGUCAGCGGGGGAGCCUCCGCGGAUGGGGAGUCACCACCUGCCGGGUUCAAGCCAUUCUUCUGCCUCAGCCUCCCGAGUAGCUGGGACUACAGCCACCCACCACCACGCCUGGCUACUUCUUUGUAUUUUAGUAGAAACAGGGUUUUACCGUGUUGGUCAAGAUGGUCUCGAUCUCCUGACCUCGUAACCUGCCCGCCUUGGCCUCCCGAAGUGCUGGGAUUACAGCAAUCAGCCAUGACUGCCUUUGCACUGUCCAUGCUCUCAGCCCACCACCUCCUCCCCCUGCCAUUGCAGUGGCUAACACUGGAGACGAAGACCAAGACACCACAGCCUUUCUCCAGUACCUCUCAAAUCAGCACAGACAAGGACAAAGGCCUCAAUCCACAACUGCUGAAGAUGGACCCUGGCCACAUGGGAUGGUCAGACACGCCUGCCCAGCUAUCUGCAGGCGAAGAGGCUCAGAAGAGGUUUAGGGGCCUGAAGGACAUCUUGCUUCCAUGUCCAUAUGAGCAGGCUAUUUCUGCUCCAUGAGUCAAUUUUGCCAUAUAAAAUACUUAAUUUCAGCCAUUCCAGGGUGCUAUAGGAUGCACAGCUUCCCAUCAGCCCACCUGAACUCCAGCCAUGCCAUUUUAAUACCAGGAAUAAGGUCACCUGCUUUCCUGCCCCUUAGGAGGCCGGAGCCGUGGAAGCAAAAUGGCACUUCUGUUUACCUGUUAUAUUAUUUUUUUGUCAUCCUUAUAUGUUUGAAAAAUGCAAUUAUAUGAAAAAAGUUUAGUAAUUACAGACAUAACAGCAGAAAGUCCUCGGAACCAAGCUUAUUCUCAUGGCCGAUUCUGCUCCACCUGGGACUCUGCUGUGCUGCGGGCAUCCUGUGGUCAGAAUCGCAGAGGGGCCAUCAGGGAGGACCUUCCCAGAGGAUGGACCUCACGUGACUGCUGCGUGGGCAAGUGGCACUGGCCACUCUGCCUGGAGAGAGGAGUAAAUGCAGGGCUGGCCAGGCGACCUGCACACUCUGCUACCGGCCUUGUCCAUCUUUAGCCUCUAAUUUGAAAAUGAGGAUCACACAGACCAAGAGUAUCUUUGAGGGUUAGUACAGACCACAGAAAUGCCCUGGGCCUUUCACUCUCUCCUUUUGCAAAUUCCCAUGUGUGGAAAUGCCGUUUGGAUAAUGAGGGAGCCUGAAGGAGGUGGACACAUGAGCAGCCCCGACAGGCCUGGCUCCAUCCUCUGAAAAUGGGGCCCCGUGCCCGGCGUGUGGCCUUACUGGUUCAGUCUUCUUUACAGUGGUAGGUUUUGAGUGCCCAGAUGCCCAGUGCCUCCUACCCGGAACAGGACAGGACCAGGCUGUCCCCUGGAAGAAUCCCAUGCACACUUGGCUAUUCAGGGAGUUUCCACCCAGCCGAGCUCGCCUCUGUGGCUACCCUGGUCUUGCUGCUCAUAUCUGCCAGGAAAGGCCUGGACUUGGAGAGAAACCUGGGAUUUGGAUUCAGUCCUUGCCAGCCUGGCUGGUUCAUAUCCUUACCUCUGUCUGUGGAAGCCUAUGUUCCUGAGCAGCGAGUCAGAGGGGGCAUCUGAACGCAGAGCAGGGAGCUUCAGAUGGGAAGAAGUCAGAGGAACCAGAAUGUAUCAGACGAUGUGGAGUUGGGUGCCUGAGCUCAAAGCAAGCUGGGCCUUGGGCUGGCUGUGUGAUCUUGGGCAAGUUCGACCAGCUUCUUUGUGCCUCUUUUCUCUCCUUAAUAAGAUAAAUGUCUUCACUAGUA
ensembl:lncRNA LINC00654 long intergenic non-protein coding RNA 654